UCCAUCACUGUUAGGACACUCCAGAGAAUCACAGUUUGAAAUCACUGACAGUUGACAAUGAUUCGAUUUUUCCCCAAGCACAUCGCUGAGCCCAGUGUGUGUGUGUGUGUGUGUGUGUGUGUGUGUGUGUGUCCCUGCAGCAUACUCCACGCCAGGCUCCACAGCUCCCAACAGGUUUGUCAGCAUCGGAGCACGGGACAACUUUCUGAACAUCCCCCAGCAGACUCAGUCUUGGUUCCUCUGACAAGGCCUUCCUGAAUCAACAGCUGAAAUUGUGUCAUGAAAAUUGGAAAAA